rnacentral:lncRNA from 1 species
CAAUUUUCCUCCAAACAUCCAAGCAGGGAGGAGGAUACCAACUUCUCAGCUUCUUCUCCUGCUUUCCUCUGGACUAACUCCUCCCCACUCUUGUGGGGAGGUAUUUAUCCAUUCUGCCCAGUGGUACCACUUUUCUGAACAGAACAUCAGGCCUGAAGGCUCCAGUUCAGCAUCAGGCAAGAAGGAAAAGCUGAUGCUCACCUUUGCCUUCCAUACAAUGCUUUCUGGCUCUUGUAAGGUAGAGUUGCAUCUGUAAGCAAUUUUGGCCACAAGGAAUGAUACUGUGCCCACUUUGGCAGCCUGGAGCCAAUCUCUUACACUAAGGAACCACACCUGGCUCUUGGAUUACAGAACUG